UUUCACAUUUCCAGAAAUAUGUCUCAUGUUCUUUUUCUUGUUUCUGCUGCAUUUCCAUUACAGCUUGAGAGGUGGCGGUGCGACACGGAGGCGGUGACUGUUGCCAAAUAAGAAUGAGAGAUUAGUAUCAGUAUUGGAACAGGAAGAAAAAAGACGAUGAUGGUGCGACCUUGCUGCUAGGUGGAGAUGUCGGCGGCUAUGGUGUGAGCCGUGGCGGCGGUGUCUGCUGGACAGAGACGCAAAUCUUGACAUGACAUGCCGAGAGCAAAACUUUUCAACUUUCCACCACGCCAACCAAAAAACUUAAGGUGCCCAAGCCAAGGAAGUUGGCCAAGCUGCGACAUGAGCUCAACCUAGCAAACGAUUCCGGCUGCAAACUAAAAGGGUGGACUUCUUGAAGGCUUUGCUCUCUCUAUGGCAUGUGCAAUUCACAUGAUGCGGACUCCUUACCCUUGGUUGAUUGCUAUAAAAGGCGACUUUUGCUUUUAGAAAAAGACUUUCAACCUUAGUUUUAGCUAGUUUUAGUUUCUUUAGUUUAUGCUUUCGAACUUUUACUGUGCUUUCUUAGUUAAAUUUACAAGAUUUCUUACUUGCUUUCUAGUUAAAUCUACAAGUCUUCUCUACAA